CGAAAGCCUGACGGAGCAAUACCGCGUGAGGGACGAAGGCUUUUGGGUCGUAAACCUCUUUUCCCUGAGAAGAAGAUCUGACGGUAUCAGGGGAAUCAGCAUCGGCUAACUUCGUGCCAGCAGCCGCGGUAAUACGAGGGAUGCAAGCGUUAUCCGGAAUUAUUGGGCGUAAAGCGUCCGCAGGUGGCUCUGUAAGUCUGUCGUUAAAGAAUGGGGCUCAACCCCAUACAGGUGAUGGAAACUACAAGGCUAGAGUUUGGUAGGGGUCACGGGAAUUCCUAGUGUAGCGGUGAAAUGCGUAGAUAUUAGGAAGAACACCAGAGGCGAAAGCGCGUGACUGGGCCAGUACUGACACUCAUGGACGAAAGCUAGGGGAGCGAAAGGGAUUAGAUACCCCUGUAGUCCUAGCCGUAAACGAUGAUAACUAGGUGUUGCCCGUAUCGACCCGGGCAGUGCCGUAGCCAACGCGUUAAGUUAUCCGCCUGGGGAGUACGCACGCAAGUGUGAAACUCAAAGGAAUUGACGGGGGCCCGCACAAGCGGUGGAGUAUGUGGUUUAAUUCGAUGCAACGCGAAGAACCUUACCAAGGCUUGACAUGUCGCGAAUUCCCUUGAAAGGGGGAAGUGCCUUCGGGAGCGCGAACACAGGUGGUGCAUGGCUGUCGUCAGCCCGUC
rnacentral:rRNA from 1 species